rnacentral:rRNA from 1 species
AACGAACGCUGGCGGAGUGCUUAAUACAUGCAAGUCGAGCGAGAAAGCUUCUUCGGAAGUGAGUAGAGCGGCGAACGGGUGAGUAACACGUAAAUAACCUGCCUCUAAAUUUGGGAUAACCUUGCUAACGCGGGGCUAAUACCGGAUGUGGUUUCUAAUUCGCAUGAAUAUGAAAUUAAAGAUGACCUCUCCUUGGAAGUUAUUGUUUAGAGAUGGAUUUGCGCACCAUUAGCUAGUUGGUGGGGUAAUAGCCUACCAAGGCUUCGAUGGUUAGCCGGCCUGAGAGGGUGAUCGGCCACAUCGGGACUGAGAUACGGCCCAG